rnacentral:rRNA from 1 species
GUGGGGAAUCUUGCGCAAUGGAGGCAACUCUGACGCAGCCAUGCCGCGUGCAGGAAGAAGGCGCUACGCGUUGUAAACUGCUUUUAACCGGGAAGAAACCCCAGGACGUGUCCUGGGUUGACGGUACCGGAGGAAUAAGCACCGGCUAACUUCGUGCCAGCAGCCGCGGUAAUACGAAGGGUGCAAGCGUUAUCCGGAUUCAUUGGGUUUAAAGGGUGCGUAGGCGGAGCGUUAAGUCAGUGGUGAAAUCCUGCAGCUUAACUGUAGACUUGCCAUUGAUACUGGCGCUCUUGAGUGCGCUUGAAGUGGGCGGAAUGUGCCGUGUAGCGGUGAAAUGCUUAGAUAUGGCACAGAACACCAAUUGCGAAGGCAGCUCACUAAGGCGAUACUGACGCUGAGGCACGAAAGCGUGGGGAUCGAACAGGAUUAGAAACCCUUGUAGUCC